UACAGAGGGGGCGAGCGUUAUUCGGAAUUAUUGGGCGUAAAGGCGCGUAGGCGGCCUUUCAAGUGACGGGUGAAAUCCCUCGGCUUAACCGAGGAACUGCGUCCGAUACUGGUUGGCUUGAAUCCGGGAGAGGGAUGUGGAAUUCCAGGUGUAGCGGUGAAAUGCGUAGAUAUCUGGAGGAACACCGGUGGCGAAGGCGACAUCCUGGACCGGUAUUGACGCUGAGGCGCGAAAGCGUGGGGGAGCAAACAGG
rnacentral:rRNA from 1 species